rnacentral:lncRNA from 1 species
ACCCUUGGCGUACAACUUGGCGUGAUAGGCUUCGACCGCUUUGGGGCAGCCUCGACGGCAGUCUUGGGCCGUCUCCCAGGAGUCGUACUCGGGGCCGUGGUUUUGCCAGCGGACCAAGUACUCGACGAGGUGGUGACGGCCAGAGCCGCUCACACGGUGUGCGUGGAUUUCUUCAGCAAACCACAUAGGGUCGCCUUCCACUGCAGGGACCACCGGUGGAGGUGGUGCAUUGCUGCUUUGUUUAAACUGUCGCAGCAGGGACAUGUGGAAGACAUUGUGCAUGCACAAUGCCUCCGGAAGUUGCAGGCGG